UACAGAGGGUGCAAGCGUUAAUCGGAAUUACUGGGCGUAAAGCGUGCGUAGACGGUCAUGUAAGUCGGGUGUGAAAGCCCCGGGCUCAACCUGGGAAUUGCAUUCGAGACUGCAUGGCUAGGAUGCGGAAGAGGGAAGCGGAAUUUCCGGUGUAGCGGUGAAAUGCGUAGAUAUCGGGAGGAACACCGGUGGCGAAGGCGGGUCUCUGGGCCGAUACUGACGCUGAGGAGCGAAAGCGUGGGGAGCGAACAGG
rnacentral:rRNA from 1 species